CGCGUCUCGCGUAUCAAAUUAUACGACUGGUACCUUUGAUAACUAUUUACUAUUGUUGUUUUGUGUAUAGUCGUUACUUUUUUCCUAUCAUUGUCUAUUCUGUUUAGCCAAUCCAGACCAACUGGUUUAUUUUACUGACACUGAAACAAACAAAAAACAAACCCCAAGAAAAUAUAAGUUGUCUCGGUUCAUUGACCAUGAAAAAACCAAUUUGCCAAUUUUAAGCAUUAGGGCAAUCAAACAAUUCAUAUUCGUUUUACGAGAGAUCCGAUCCCACAUUGCGUUACAAUGUUAUAUCAUAAAGAAGAUUAAAAUUCAAUUAUGGAAAUAAAUUUUAAGGUUUUCUACGUCAUUUGUUCUCUGUUGGAGAAUUAUGUCAUUGGCAAUCAAACCAUAUCUUCUGAUUUUUAUAUUCAAGAAUAUGCCU
rnacentral:lncRNA from 1 species